AGUGAACGCUGGCGGUAGGCCUAACACAUGCAAGUCGAACGGCAGCACAGUAAGAGCUUGCUCUUACGGGUGGCGAGUGGCGGACGGGUGAGGAAUACAUCGGAAUCUACUUUUUCGGGGGGGAUAACGUAGGGAAACUUACGCUAAUACCGCAUACGACCUACGGGUGAAAGCAGGGGAUCUUCGGACCUUGCACGAUUGAAUGAGCCGAUGUCGGAUUAGCUAGUUGGCGGGGUAAAGGCCCACCAAGGCGACGAUCCGUAGCUGGUCUGAGAGGAUGAUCAGCCACACUGGAACUGAGACACGGUCCAGACUCCUACGGGAGGCAGCAGUGGGGAAUAUUGGACAAUGGGCGCAAGCCUGAUCCAGCCAUACCGCGUGGGUGAAGAAGGCCUUCGGGUUGUAAAGCCCUUUUGUUGGGAAAGAAAAGCAGCAGGUUAAUACCCCGCUGUUCUGACGGUACCCAAAGAAUAGGCACCGGCUAACUUCGUG
rnacentral:rRNA from 1 species